rnacentral:rRNA from 1 species
UACAGAGGUCCCAAGCGUUGUUCGGAUUCACUGGGCGUAAAGGGUGCGUAGGCGGUCGGGUAAGUCUGGCGUGAAAUCUCCAAGCCUAACUUGGAAACUGCGUUGGAUACUAUCCGGCUCGAGGAAUGGAGGGGAGACUGGAAUACUCGGUGUAGCAGUGAAAUGCGUAGAUAUCAAGUGGAACACCAGUGGCGAAGGCGAGUCUCUGGACAUUUCCUGACGCUGAGGCACGAAAGCCAGGGGAGCAAACGGG